UUUCCUACGGGCGGCAGCAGUAGGGAAUAUUGGACAAUGGGCGAAAGCCUGAUCCAGCAAUGCCGCGUGAGUGAUGAAGGCCUUAGGGUUGUAAAGCUCUUUUACCCGGGAUGAUAAUGACAGUACCGGGAGAAUAAGCUCCGGCUAACUCCGUGCCAGCAGCCGCGGUAAUACGGAGGGAGCUAGCGUUGUUCGGAAUUACUGGGCGUAAAGCGCACGUAGGCGGCUAUUCAAGUCAGAGGUGAAAGCCCGGGGCUCAACCCCGGAACUGCCUUUGAAACUAGAUAGCUUGAAUCCAGGAGAGGUGAGUGGAAUUCCGAGUGUAGAGGUGAAAUUCGUAGAUAUUCGGAAGAACACCAGUGGCGAAGGCGGCUCACUGGACUGGUAUUGACGCUGAGGUGCGAAAGCGUGGGGAGCAAACAGGAUUAGAUACCCCAGUAGUCGG
rnacentral:rRNA from 1 species